CUGAGGGCAAAGGGGAGCCAAAGAAGGGUUGUAAGGGGAAGAGUGACAGGCUGUGCUUCAAGUUUAAGAAGAUGUCUCUGGCUGCUGCGUGCAGGUUUGGGAGGAGAGGCCAGAGAGGAGGCUGGAACAAGACCCCAGUGGCAAACAACUUACGUUCUGCUGGGGGCUGCCAAAUCUAGUCGUGGUAUGGACCUCAGAAUAAAGCGUUUUGGCCACCUCUGCUGAAUUAAAGCUGGAGUGGAAGACUUACACGUUUACACGGCCACGUGGGCAUUACUAGCGAGUAAGUAACGCUGGUCCAGCCUCAGGGCCUUUGCACUUGCUGCUCCCUCCACUCGGAAGCCUUAUCUCCCACAUUUGCAAACUGCUGCUGCUUCUUGUGAUUCAGAUGCUGACCAAUGUCACCCACUCUCAAGAAACUGACGACACAGGGCCCUCUCUGGAGGAGGACCGCAAAUCGGGAGGGGGGCGCGAGCCGGCAGGGAGGGGCACU